rnacentral:rRNA from 1 species
GAUGAACGCUGGCGGCGUGCCUAAUACAUGCAAGUCGAGCGAACAGACGAGGAGCUUGCUCCUUCGACGUUAGCGGCGGACGGGUGAGUAACACGUAGGUAACCUACCUAUAAGACUGGGAUAACUUCGGGAAACCGGAGCUAAUACCGGAUAAUAUUUCGAACCGCAUGGUUCGAUAGUGAAAGAUGGCUUUGCUAUCACUUAUAGAUGGACCUGCGCCGUAUUAGCUAGUUGGUAAGGGAACGGCUUACCAAGGCAACGAUGCGUAGCCGACCUGAGAGGGUGAUCGGCCACACUGGAACUGAGACACGGUCCAGACUCCUACGGGAGGCAGCAGUAGGGAAUCUUCCGCAAUGGGCGAAAGCCUGACGGAGCAACGCCGCGUGAGUGAUGAAGGUCUUCGGAUCGUAAAACUCUGUUAUUAGGGAAGAACAAACGUGUAAGUAACUGUGCACGUCUUGACGGUACCUAAUCAGAAAGCCACGGCUAACUACGUG